rnacentral:rRNA from 1 species
CCGAGCGGUAUUCUGGAUUUAUUCAGGAGAGAGCGGCGUACGGGUGCGUAACACGUGUGCAACCUACCUUUAUCAGGGGGAUAGCCUUUCGAAAGGGAGAUUAAUACUCCAUAAUAUAUUAAAUGGCAUCAUUUGAUAUUGAAAACUCCGGUGGAUAGAGAUGGGCACGCGCAAGAUUAGAUAGUUGGUGAGGUAACGGCUCACCAAGUCAAUGAUCUUUAGGGGUCCUGAGAGGGAGAUCCCCCACACUGGUACUGAGACACGGACCAGACUCCUACGGGAGGCAGCAGUGAGGAAUAUUGGACAAUGGGUGAGAGCCUGAUCCAGCCAUCCCGCGUGAAGGAUGACGGUCCUAUGGAUUGUAAACUUCUUUUGUACAGGGAUAAACCCAGAUACGUGUAUCUGGCUGAAGGUACUGUACGAAUAAGCACCGGCUAACUCCGUGCCAGCAGCCGCGGUAAUACGGAGGGUGCAAGCGUUAUCCGGAUUUAUUAGGUUUAAAGGGUCCGUAGGCGGACCGAUAGGUCAGUGGUGAAAUCUCAUAGCUUAACUAUGAAACUGCCAUUGAUACUGUCGGUCUUGAGUAAAUUUGAAGUGGCUGGAAUAAGUAGUGUAGCGGUGAAAUGCAUAGAUAUUACUUAGAACACCAAUUGCGAAGGCAGGUCACUAAGAUUUAACUGACGCUGAGGGACGAAAGCGUGGGUAGCGAACAGGAUUAGAUACCCUGGUAGUCCACGCCGUAAACGAUGCUAACUCGUUUUUGGGGCGCAAGCUUCAGAGACCAAGCGAAAGUGAUAAGUUAGCCACCUGGGGAGUACGUUCGCAAGAAUGAAACUCAAAGGAAUUGACGGGGGCCCGCACAAGCGGUGGAUUAUGUGGUUUAAUUCGAUGAUACGCGAGGAACCUUACCAAGACUU